CUCCCCCCGCCGCCCAGCGAGCAUAAAGCCCCGCGCUCGCCCGCGCGCCCAGGCGCCCGCGGAGGCGGCGGCGCCCGGACCCCACUCCCGUUGGGCUCCCGGGUCCUCGAGGGCAAGAGAGACCCCGAAUCCCGAGGCGGGCCGGGACCUGGGCGCGGCCGCACCCCACACCCACCCUGGCUCGGGGGCCGGGCCGCGGGAACGCCCUCCCGGAAUGAAGCGCUUCCCGGUGCCUUCAAGAUUCGGGAACGCCGGUUCCAGAGUCUCCCCGUCCACUCCCCACGGAAGCUGUAAGAAAGAGUUCUAACCCCACCCCAUCGGAUUGGAAGUACCUAAGCUGCCGGCCCACUGUGUUUGGAGUGACUUCUCUCAGUCCAUCUCA
rnacentral:lncRNA from 1 species